UUUCGUGAAUACGGAAUGGGAUGCGU
rnacentral:sRNA from 1 species